UUGCUCCUUGAUCAGCGGCGGACGGGUGAGUAAUGCCUAGGAAUCUGCCUGGUAGUGGGGGACAACGUUUCGAAAGGAACGCUAAUACCGCAUACGUCCUACGGGAGAAAGCAGGGGACCUUCGGGCCUUGCGCUAUCAGAUGAGCCUAGGUCGGAUUAGCUAGUUGGUGGGGUAAUGGCUCACCAAGGCGACGAUCCGUAACUGGUCUGAGAGGAUGAUCAGUCACACUGGAACUGAGACACGGUCCAGACUCCUACGGGAGGCAGCAGUGGGGAAUAUUGGACAAUGGGCGAAAGCCUGAUCCAGUCCAUGCCGCGUGUGUGAAGAAGGUCUUCGGAUUGUAAAGACACAUAUUAAAAUUUGGGGCGGGAAAGGCCAACGUCAAUGUUUACAUAACCUUUCUUGUCUCUGACAGUUACCAGAGCAGGCAAAGUAAAAGAAUCCCAGGGCCACUAGUAUCUGUUGCCCAAACAAGCCAGACAGAUGGUAGAUAUCCAGAAACAGUAGUUGAAAAAGGAGGGGUUUAGAGUUCCAGGUGAAGAUAUACCAUGGGACUUGUUAUCAGAAAGCAGACGAUCAGAUAGCUGUUGUGUUCUGACUAAAGCAUGUUUAAGACGUUAGGAUUGAAAACAUGCUCACCCAAAGAGGGCCUAUCAAACAAACAUAAGG
rnacentral:rRNA from 1 species